AGCCUGAUCAGCCAUACCGCGUGGGUGAAGAAGGCCUUCGGGUUGUAAAGCCCUUUUGUUGGGAAAGAAAAGCAGUCGGCUAAUACCCGGUUGUUCUGACGGUACCCAAAGAAUAAGCACCGGCUAACUUCGUGCCAGCAGCCGCGGUAAUACGAAGGGUGCAAGCGUUACUCGGAAUUACUGGGCGUAAAGCGUGCGUAGGUGGUUGUUUAAGUCUGUUGUGAAAGCCCUGGGCUCAACCUGGGAAUUGCAGUGGAUACUGGGCGACUAGAGUGUGGUAGAGGGUAGUGGAAUUCCCGGUGUAGCAAUGAAAUGCGUAAAGAUCGGGAGGAACAUCCAUGGCGAAGGCAGCUACCUGGACCAACACUGACACUGAGGCACGAAAGCGUGGGGAGCAAACAGGAUUAGAUACCCUGGUAGUCCACGCCCUAAACGAUGCGAACUGGAUGUUGGGUGCAAUUUGGCACGCACUAUCGAAGCUAACGCGUUAAGUUCGCCGCCUGGGGAGUACGGUCGCAAGACUGAAACUCAAAGGAAUUGACGGGGGCCCGCACAAGCGGUGGAGUAUGUGGUUUAAUUCGAUGCAACGCGAAGAACCUUACCUGGUCUUGACAUGUCCAGAACUUUCCAGAGAUG
rnacentral:rRNA from 1 species